AAUAAACGCAGCUAUGAGUUUCCAUAUCCAACUUUUAUCAUCCGUCUUAUUUGAAAUUUUGUUGUGAUUAGUAUUUUUAUUGUUAUUAGAUUGUAAAACAUAAAUAUUAUUAUAUACGUGACUUAUGUUUUUUAGUUUUUUCAAAAAAUAAUUAAAUAAGACGAAUGAUUAAAGUUGGAUACGAAAACUUAUGGCUGCGCUUAUA
rfam:Oryza meridionalis cultivar OR44 (W2112) chromosome 7, whole genome shotgun sequence.